rnacentral:lncRNA from 10 species
UUGCAGCAGUGGCAGUAGCAGGCCAGCAAGGCCAGUCCCGAAGUUGGUAGGUUGUGUGGGUGGUGAUGGUGGCACCAGGCAGUGGAAUCCUAUUCUCAGGCCCCCAGAUAGUGUGCCUGUUCAGACCGUGGUGGAUGGGGAAUCUUGAGUGCAGGUGGCAGGUGUUCUGGUCCUGUUGUUAGUUUGCUGAGAAUGAUGGCUUCCAGCUUCAUCCAUGUCCCUGCAAAGGGAACUCAUUCUUCUUUAUG